rnacentral:tRNA from 1 species
GGGCUCAUAGCUCAGUUGGCUAGAGCGUUGCAUUGACAUUGCAAAGGUCCCAGGUUCGAAUCCUGGUGGGCCCACAA